UGAUGCUCCUUUGCAAAAUGCUUGAAAACCACCUCCUAGAAGAUUCACAAGCAUAGACAUUUUUUCUUGACUGAAUUGAAAGUUGGAGUACCCAAAAUUCAAAGUGCAUGUCUUAUCUGUUUAAAUGCAAGUAGUAGAUCCCAUCGUCUCACAUGCGGAUAGAUGCCUCACAAGAGCCUUAUCAUUCAUUAAUUUUCUCUUUGCAAAAGGCUCUGCUUAAUGUUAUUGCAAGUGGUAGCCCUUCUGGAAUAGCAACUACGAUAAUGGUAACUACAGUAAUAAUAAUAAAUAAAUAAAUAACCGAGAAUCGCCAUAGAUCAUAAACAAGAGGAGUGGUGAUGAGAUCUCCUGAAGCCACGACGAGAACGGGGCGAUGAGAAGCGAAAGAUCGACACCACGAUCAGCUCCCGAUCUGUCGAUUUGUACACUCACAAGCAACUCCUGAUCUGCCGCACCAGCUCAAAGCCCCUGAAACUCAGCCCUGUUUCUCGGCAAACAGAGGCCGAGCGAAUCGCUUUGUAGGCAGAGUCCGACGCCUGACGAGGCUUCGACACCAGAUUUUCUGAAGUUCUGUUUAGGCUGUGGAGGAAUCAGAUACGGAUUAAAAUGGCAAUGAAAUUUAAGUCCAGCGUGGCGACUCUCGAAGACAAGAAUAUGGAGAACCUCCGCAGUCUCUUCUCCUGCUACAGCGACCUCGAAGAAGCGGUCGUGUUCCUUGGCAAGGUCAUCGGGGAAAAUAAAGGGUACGUCAAGAACAUCAACGGCGCCUUGCUCAAAGUAAAGAAGCCAAGUAAGAAAAUUGACGGAUGAAUAACCAGACCCAGGUUGGUGUAUUGGAAAAUUCCGGAUGUAAUGCAAAUCUAUCACAAUUGAUGCUUCUAUACACAAGAUUAAUGUAGUCAACGCGCCUAUUUUCAAGGUUCUUCUGGAGACCGGGUUUGAAGGCCUAGGCUAGGACUGUUUUUGUUCGUUUCUUUUUAGGGUAUUGUGAGAUACAGAUAUAUGUAUAGAUAUAUUUGUACGUGAUUAUGUUUUAAAUACUGGUUGUGGAGAUAGAUAUUUGGAUGUUGUAGUAUUCGUUUUUGGGUUGUUAUAUAAAACUAUGGUAUUUAUUUGAGGUUA